AACAGUGUGGCAUAGUGGUUUAAGUGUUGGAUUGUGACUCUGGAGACCAGGGUUCAAAUCCUUGCUCAGCCA